rnacentral:rRNA from 1 species
AGAGUUUGAUCAUGGCUCAGAUUGAACGCUGGCGGUAUGCCUUACACAUGCAAGUCGAACGGUAGAGGGGCAACCCUUGAGAGUGGCGAACGGGUGAGUAAUACAUCGGAACGUGCCCAGUCGUGGGGGAUAACGUAGCGAAAGCUACGCUAAUACCGCAUACGACCCGAGGGUGAAAGCGGGGGACUCGCAAGAGCCUCGCGCGAUUGGAGCGGCCGAUGGCAGAUUAGGUAGUUGGUGGGGUAAAGGCCCACCAAGCCUGCGAUCUGUAGCUGGUCUGAGAGGACGACCAGCCACACUGGGACUGAGACACGGCCCAGACUCCUACGGGAGGCAGCAGUGGGGAAUUUUGGACAAUGGGCGAAAGCCUGAUCCAGCCAUACCGCGUGCGGGAAGAAGGCCUUCGGGUUGUAAACCGCUUUUGUCAGGGAAGAAAUCCUUUGGGUUAAUACCUCGGAUGGAUGACGGUACCUGAAGAAUAAGCACCGGCUAACUACGUGCCAGCAGCCGCGGUAAUACGUAGGGUGC